rnacentral:lncRNA from 1 species
GGUUACUAGAUGUAAUUGCAAAUAACAUCAUUACCAUUAACAAGGACCAAAAUGUCUUUGACUCCAAGAAGAAAGUGAAAUUAACCAAUGCGGAAAGAGUAGAGUUUAAGCUUUCCAAGAAACAACUACAAGCUAUAGAAUUUAACAAAGCAUUACUUGCUAUGUACACAAACCAGGCCGAACAAUGCCUCAAAAUAUCUGCCAGUUUACAUUCCCAAAGUCCCGAGCAUCUCUCACCUAUGUU